rnacentral:tRNA from 1 species
GGGUCGUUAGCUCAGUCGGUAGAGCAGUUGACUUUUAAUCAAUUGGUCGCUGGUUCGAAUCCAGCACGACCCACAA